CCUACGGGCGGCAGCAGUGAGGAAUAUUGGUCAAUGGACGAGAGUCUGAACCAGCCAAGUAGCGUGAAGGAUGACUGCCCUAUGGGUUGUAAACUUCUUUUAUAUGGGAAUAAAAUGUUCCACGUGUGGGAUUUUGUAUGUACCAUAUGAAUAAGGAUCGGCUAACUUCGUGCCAGCAGCCGCGGUAAUACGGAGGAUUCGAGCGUUAUCCGGAUUUAUUGGGUUUAAAGGGAGCGUAGGUGGAUUGUUAAGUCAGUUGUGAAAGUUUGCGGCUCAACCGUAAAAUUGCAGUUGAAACUGGCAGUCUUGAGUACAGUAGAGGUGGGCGGAAUUCGUGGUGUAGCGGUGAAAUGCUUAGAUAUCACGAAGAACUCCGAUUGCGAAGGCAGCUCACUGGACUGCAACUGACACUGAGGCUCGAAAGUGUGGGUAGCAAACAGGAUUAGAUACCCCAGUAGUC
rnacentral:rRNA from 1 species